GUUUGCAGCCAUAUCAUAUUGGAAACACUGGUUCUUGUCCAACCAUUAGUUAAACAACACUUAGUCUAGUUAGUACUUAGGGACCACUUGAGAAACCUAGAUACUGUAAACA
rnacentral:rRNA from 1 species